AGGGGAUCAAAAUCCCUAGCGCAGCCUCAAUUCCCCUCGGGCCUGGCAUCUCUCUUUUCCUCACCCUCCUUCUCCACCUCCGGCCGCCGCCACGGCCAGGCCGGCGUGGGUGGUGUGCCUCCCGCCUCAUCACCCAUCUCCAUCCACCACUCCGCGACCCAUCCAUCCAUCAGCGCCACCAGCUCCACCACCACACCACCGAACGCCGCCGCGCCUACAGCCAUCUCCCUACUGCCGCUGCUCUCCAACCUUCUUCCCCAAUCUUGUUGCUGCUCCUAACCUUCUCCAAUCCCCGACGCUGCUGCUCUUCUUCUUCUCCUGCGCCCUCUGCCUGCUGCUCACAUCCGUUGCUCGCUGAUUCUCUUCUUCUUCCGUUACCUCUGCUGCUGCUCUUCUCCCCUUGCCCCUUCUGCUGCUGUUUCUCUCCUCCACCUCUUUGCUGCUACCCUUCUUCUUCCCUGAACCGAAUUAUUGCUCUCUCCCCAUCUCUUGAUGCGCCCCUGCUGCUCUGAACCUCCCUUCCCUGCUCCUCCUCCUCCUCCUCCUCACGUCCAAACUGCUGGUGCUCCUCUCAACCUCCUCCUGCUCUCUCUCUCUCUCUCUCUCUCUCUCUCUCUCUCUCUCUCUCUCUCUGAAAUUUCUGUAAGAUUGAGGCUUAUGUGAUGUGUAACAUUCAGAUACGUUAAGUGUUAGUAACCUACUGUUGCUCAGUUUCAGACUUGGGCUUGUGUGGUCUUACAUUGUUGAUCUGUGAUUUAGAUUCUGUUCUGCACUUAUUGAAUACAUGUGUUCACUUUGUAGUUCCUGUUUUAGUUUUGUACCUGUGAUAUAAAUGUUUACAAUAUAAUCAUUUGUGUUGUGAUAUAAUUCUGUCCCUGUCAUAUAAUCUUGUUUACUAUAUAAUCAUUCUUGUCUGGUUCUUUCCCUAUUGUGUUAAUGUUCUAGUGUCUAAAGUAGUCUUAAUAUAUACUGGUUAUAUGAAACAUCCAUUUUCU
rnacentral:rRNA from 1 species